rnacentral:rRNA from 1 species
GACGAACGCUGGCGGCGUGCUUAACACAUGCAAGUCGAACGGAAAGGCCCUGCUUUUGUGGGGUGCUCGAGUGGCGAACGGGUGAGUAACACGUGAGUAACCUGCCCUUGACUUUGGGAUAACUUCAGGAAACUGGGGCUAAUACCGGAUAGGAGCUCCUGCUGCAUGGUGGGGGUUGGAAAGUGUCGGCGGUUGGGGAUGGACUCGCGGCUUAUCAGCUUGUUGGUGGGGUAGUGGCUUACCAAGGCUUUGACGGGUAGCCGGCCUGAGAGGGUGACCGGCCACAUUGGGACUGAGAGACGGCCCAGACUCCUACGGGAGGCAGCAGUGGGGAAUAUUGCACAAUGGGCGGAAGCCUGAUGCAGCAACGCCGCGUGCGGGAUGACGGCCUUCGGGUUGUAAACCGCUUUCGCCUGUGACGAAGCGUGAGUGACGGUAAUGGGUAAAGAAGCACCGGCUAACUACGUG